rnacentral:rRNA from 1 species
CAUGAAGCCGGAAUCGCUAGUAAUCGCGGAUCAGCACGCCGCGGUGAAUACGUUCCCGGGUCUUGUACACACCGCCCGUCACACCACGAGAGUUUGUAACACCUGAAGUCGGUGAGGUAACCUUUGGAGCCAGCCGCCGAAGGUGGGACAGAUGAUUGGGGUGAAGUCGUAACAAGGUAGCCGUAGGUGAACCUGCGGCUGGAUCACCUCCUUUCUAAGGA